GACGAACGGCUGGCGGCGUGGAUUAGGCAUGCAAGUCGAACGGUAGGAGUACCUUCGGGUAUCUGAGAGUGGCGAACGGGUGAGUAACACGUAGGUGAUCUACCCUCAAGAUUGGGACAACCCAGGGAAACUUGGGCUAAUACCGGAUGAAAGCAGCAGUGAUGUUGUUUGAAAGGUGGCGUAAGCUGCCGUUUGGGGGAUGAGCCUGCGCUCUAUUAGUUAGUUGGCGGGGUAAAGGCCCACCAAGGCGAUGAUAGAUAGGCGGCCUUAACGGGUGGUCGCCCACACUGGGAUUGAGAUACGGCCCAGACUCCUACGGGAGGCAGCAGUCGAGAAUAGUCUACAAUGGCCGAAAGGCUGAUAGUGCGACGCCGCGUGAACGAAGAAGCCCUUCGGGGUGUAAAGUUCUUUUAUAUGUGAGCAGUGCUUUCUAUGUGAACAGCAUGGGGAGAGAGAUAUUAGCAUAUGAAUAAGCAACGGCUAACUCCGUG
rnacentral:rRNA from 1 species